UAGAGCUUGAUCAUGGCUCAGAUUGAACGCUGGCGGCAGGCCUAACACAUGCAAGUCGAGCGGUAGAGAGAAGCUUGCUUCUCUUGAGAGCGGCGGACGGGUGAGUAAUGCCUAGGAAUCUGCCUGGUAGUGGGGGAUAACGUUCGGAAACGGACGCUAAUACCGCAUACGUCCUACGGGAGAAAGCAGGGGACCUUCGGGCCUUGCGCUAUCAGAUGAGCCUAGGUCGGAUUAGCUAGUUGGUGAGGUAAUGGCUCACCAAGGCGACGAUCCGUAACUGGUCUGAGAGGAUGAUCAGUCACACUGGAACUGAGACACGGUCCAGACUCCUACGGGAGGCAGCAGUGGGGAAUAUUGGACAAUGGGCGAAAGCCUGAUCCAGCCAUGCCGCGUGUGUGAAGAAGGUCUUCGGAUUGUAAAGCACUUUAAGUUGGGAGGAAGGGCAGUUACCUAAUACGUAAUUGUUUUGACGUACCGACAGA
rnacentral:rRNA from 1 species